UGGAGCUCCGGGUCCAUUGCUACACUGUUGAUGGAGGGGCCCUCUACCUGCCCGAGGCCCUUCCUCUCCGGUGUCGGCCACUCCAACACCUGCCCAAACAAAGACAACAAAAACAUAUGAGGAGGGGCUUCAGUCGACGGCUUUAAAAGCUGCCAGGAUGCUGCAGUGUUGAGCCGAGGCAUUGCCCCCCCUGGACAUCAGCACCGUGGACCAGGCCAGGGAGAAGAACUCCUGUUGGGAGGAACAGAAACAUUAAACACCAUCUUUAAUCUUUAUAUUGGAGUGUGCUAAUGUCUGCAGAAUUCAUACUAACUGCUGUCAGCAUUAAAUAUACAAACAUUUAUAUAUAUUAUACAUACGUUUCCUUGUAAUUAUACAUUCUUUAAUGUUGACAUUUUGUAAUUUUUUUUGUCCUUCCUCUCUGGUAAAUAUAAGUCGUUUCCAUAGCAGCAGCGUUAAGAUUGUGUAAACACAAGCACAGGAAGGAAAUAAAAUGAAAUCUAUAGCAAUGUUUUCUGUGUAUGUAAAUACAAAAGUCAGAGAAUAAAUGGAGCGAACCUC